rnacentral:tRNA from 1 species
AGGAAGAUAAGCUAAGUUUAAGCUCAUAGGUUCAUACCCUAUUUAUGGUUUCGACCUCUUUCUA